UGAGGGGUGGGGGAAGGGAAGCCUUCUUCCCUGGGACCAGAGCCCAGGCCUCAAUCCAUCUUGGGAUGAGACCCCAGUCUCUUACUGAGUCUGUGCCUCUGGAUGGGAACUUCACAAGUGUUUCUCCGUUUUAUAUCUCCCCUUGGUUGGGGCAGGAUGUCCAGGGGAGGCUGGAGCUGGACAUUUCCCUUUCCCAGGUCAGUUAGGCUCUGAUAACACCCCAGCAGGUCAGGCUCUGGCUAACAAGAUUUCCUUGAAGGCAGCCUUGUUAGGAAAAACAGAGUGCUCAGGACGUUGGGAAUGGUUCCUUCCCUCCCUCGGCAGAAAGCUUGAGGGGACUUUGCUGCGAUAUUUACUUGGGAACCUGGUCAUGUUCCAGGAGUAAAUCUCACAGCACUGUAUGGACUCCCUUAGGACUGAGUCCCCGUGGUGUUUUUAACUCUCAGACUUGUCUAUGGUGAGCCUCCAGAAAUUUAUUAAUUACAGUUCGGUCCCACUUCCUCACACAGAGUCUCAAGUCAGUUUCUCUCCUGAAUGUUUGCAGACUGUGACGACUUGUAUUCACCUGCCUGUCUCUCCUACCUUGGGAAGAGUGGUUUGCUGUGUUCUCUCUUCUCUUACAGACCCAAGAAGAGUCGCUAAUUUUUCAGUUUGUUUAGCCCUUUACUUCUCAGCAGAGAUUGGUGACUUCCAAGCUGCUUGCAUGCAGAAUCCUACAGUGUAGAACUGAGGUGAAAUAUACAAUGUUGGAAUUGACAUACACACAGUAAUGAUACCGUAGAUGACUAACGAGAACCUGCUGAGCAGCAUAGGGAACUUUACUCAGUGGUCUGCGGUGACCGAAACGGGAAGGAAAUCUAAAAAAGAAUGGAACUUCCCAGAAAUCCACCCUGCGGUCUACCUGGGAAAGAUGUUCGGGAGGAGCUGGCUAGGCAAAUGUGGGAGCCCGGGGAAGCAGCGCUUGACGCCAGCGGAGCGGCCCUGUAGCAAACCUUCUCUGGCAACCUCUCCAGCACCCUCUGCUGACAAGGCUCGGCAUAGCCAGGGAUCAGAUCCAUUUUGAAGUGAAAAGAAACUUGCUCCUUCGAAGGAAAGCUAUGACAAACCUAGACAACAUAUUAAAAAACAGAGAAAUCACUUUACUGACAAAGGCCUGUCUAGUCGAA